CUCGGAUGAAAUCUGGAAGGUGAUCGACCGUCGUAGAAACUUGGAUGAAGUCUGGUUACUGUAGAAAAUUAGUUGAUAGCGAAGCUAAGAAAGCAUUUGGAGCAGCCCGGUAGAUGAAUGGAGGAGCUCAUUAUCGGAGAAGUUCGGAUGGUAUUAUGGAAGCUUGGACAGUCGGGGGAGUUCAGAAAGAUGCCACACA
rnacentral:lncRNA from 1 species